rnacentral:rRNA from 1 species
UACGGAGGGGGCUAGCGUUGUUCGGAAUUACUGGGCGUAAAGCGCACGUAGGCGGACUGUUAAGUUGGGGGUGAAAUCCUGGGGCUCAACCUCAGAAUUGCCUCCGAUACUGGCAGUCUCGAGUGCGGGAGAGGUGAGUGGAAUUCCCAGUGUAGAGGUGAAAUUCGUAGAUAUUGGGAAGAACACCAGUGGCGAAGGCGGCUCACUGGCCCGUAACUGACGCUGAGGUGCGAAAGCGUGGGGAGCAAACAGG